GACGAACGCUGGCGGCGUGCUUAACACAUGCAAGUCGAACGGUGAACCUCUUCGCAGGGGGUCAUUGGCGAACGGGUGGGUAACACGUAGGCAACUUGCCCCCGCCUCUGUGAUAACUCCAAGAAAUUGGGGCUAAUAACUGAUGUUCACCGCUUCCCGCUGGGUGGGUGGUGUAAAGGGUUUCCGGCUGUUGAUGGUCGCUUGGCCGAUCAUCUGGUUGUUGGUGUAGUGGUCUCCCAAGGCGACGAUGGCUAGUCGGCCGGGGAUGGGGACCGGCCACAAGGGGCCUGAGGCAGGGCCCAGCAUCCAACGGGGGGCAGAGGGGGGAAAAAUUGAGCAAUGGGGGGAAGCUGGAGGCGGAGACGCCGGGUGGGGAAUGACGGCUUUCGGGUUGUAAACGUCUUUGAGCAGGGACGAAGCGCAAGUGACGGUACCUGCAGAAGAAGCACCGGCUAACUACGUG
rnacentral:rRNA from 1 species